GACGAACGCUGGCGGCGUGCUUAACACAUGCAAGUCGAGCGGUAAGGCCCUUUCGGGGGUACACGAGCGGCGAACGGGUGAGUAACACGUGGGUGACCUGCCCUCAGCUCUGGGAUAAGCCUGGGAAACCGGGUCUAAUACUGGAUAUGACUCCAUGACGCAUGUUGUGGGGUGGAAAGCCUUGUGCGGCUGAGGAUGGGCCCGCGGCCUAUCAGCUUGUUGGUGGGGAUGGCCUACCAAGGCGACGACGGGUAGCCGGCCUGAGAGGGCGACCGGGCCACACUGGGACUGAGACACGGCCCAGACU
rnacentral:rRNA from 1 species